GUGGUGGCAGCGCUGGCAGUGAAGUAAAGGCUCUCUUGGCUUUAACAGUACCAGAAUCAGUGACUUAUUUUUCAAUAUAUAUUAUUGUUAAUAUUUAUACAAUAAUACAGAGUAUUCUGUUCUAUGGAAUUUAUCCAAAUAUAUUUCGGCCUCAUGUGUUGCCAGGAUGAAAAAUUAGGCCUAAAGACCUUCAGUCUAAAGUAAAUGGCUGCGGCGUUGUUUCUUUAACCAAUCAGAUUUUGAGUUCACAUCAAAUUCUCAUAUCUAGGCCUUUUAGGAUGGGCCGCAGUUACGUUGGCGAUUGGAGUGAUUUGAUUGGUUGGUCAAAGAACCCACGUCUCUAAUCUACCAAACAACAGCUAAUUUCGACUUGCCCGCUAAAAAAAUAAUUUGUCUCUACGUCCGCUGCUUCUGUCGAAUUUUGCAGUGACUCCCACUCUUGACAAGACAGAUUUGAGCGGAGUUGUCAGUUGCCAAUUAUACGCCAGGCUUGUCUGACUGGAUUGUCUGAGACUGAUCAGCAGUUUGAUGAUCACACAGAACAAGGCCUUUCAACUGAGCAUCCAGAAUCCCUGGAGACACUUGAGCAAGGCAGCAAUCAAAUGAUUUCAGCGGCACAAUCAAAAGACAAGUUUGAUGAUUGGCACUUCCUUAUUUGAUCAAAGGGGGGCGCAGUGAGCGCUGUGGGCCAUAGGCGGCCUGUUGAAGUGAGAGAACGUCAGCAGACAGUAAACUCCUGACAUCUGCACUGAAGGACUUACAGAAGGAUAAUGCAAAGUCGGUGAGAGACAGUGAGGCUGCUCCUGCUGCUGCUCCUGCUCCUGCUCCUGAGUUCAGAUGCAAAAAAGCCUGUCCUGGAGAUUCCUAUAUGUGAAGCCUUUCAUCACCAGUAAAGGGAAUAAAUAUAAUGACAUUGAAAGAUGUCAAUUGGUUUGUUGCUUUUUCAACACGACACAGCCAUGUUAGAGCCAGGAUUGGAGCCACAAUCCACCUGAUUAUUGGCUGAUCCUUUAACCACUAGGCCACUCCCGUCCCCAGUUUUUGGGUAAGUGUUGCAUCACUUUAUGUUAAAUUAAAUUCAGUUAUGUAUUAGUAAUAGCAAUAUAUGUAUACAUAUAUUUGUCAGUUGUUAACUUCAGCUUUUUUUUUUUAACUAACA